CACGUAGGGGGCGAGCGUUGUCCGGAUUUAUUGGGCGUGAAGCGUGCGUAGGCGGCUGCGCAAGUCGGGUGUGAAACCCCGGGGCUCAACCCCGGAACUGCAUCCGAUACUGCGUGGCUAGAGGUAGGUAGGGGAGAUCGGAAUUCCUGGUGUAGCGGUGAAAUGCGCAGAUAUCAGGAGGAACACCGGUGGCGAAGGCGGAUCUCUGGGCCUUACCUGACGCUCAGGCACGAAAGCUAGGGGAGCGAACAGG
rnacentral:rRNA from 1 species